UCUCAGUUCGGAUUAUAGUCUGCAACUCGACUACAUGAAGCUGGAAUCGCUAGUAAUCGCGAAUCAGAAUGUCGCGGUGAAUACGUUCCCGGGUCUUGUACACACCGCCCGUCACACCAUGGGAGUCAGUAACGCCCGAAGUCAGUGACCCAACCGAUCUGGAGGGAGCUGCCGAAGGUGGGACCGAUAACUGGGGUGAAGUCGUAACAAGGUAUC
rnacentral:rRNA from 1 species